rnacentral:lncRNA from 1 species
ACAAGAUAAUUUAUAAAUAAAACAAUUUAUUAAAGCAGAAUCGGGGACCGGAAUAAAAUGCACACAAAUGAUCAAGGAUUAAAACCGAAAAUGUCCCAAAUCCCAAAACGCGGUGUUCCAAUAUACGCAUUUAAAUGGCUCGAGGACCAGAUUGAAAUAAAAAUUAAAUUUUUGGGUCCAAUUAAAAAAAGAAAAAUAUAAGUAGGACGCGAUUGAAUAGAGAUGAUAAUGCGGAAGGACCUAAGGAGAAAAUUGUCCCUUUUAUCAAAAACGCGCGGAUCCUCUCAUGUCGGGUCGCGUGCGCUGGUUGAGGCCUCAAAACGGCACCGUCUUGAGCCUAUUUCCAUUAGCCCUAAACGACGUCAUAUCCAUUGCCUAUAAAAACCAAUUUUCAACCAAAAAAACAAUUGAUGCCUGUUUUAAAAAAAAAAAAACUCAAGUUCUCUCCAGCCCUCCGAGUUCCGACUGAACUCCAAUUAUCGGGCCACGGCCGUACGCCGCCAUGCGCGAUGGUCGGGACCCAAACGAUGGUCUCCUUUGGCCAUUUUCUCCUCCCCGACCUAGAUCCGAAGCCAAAACACGCAGAAACCUUACGACCGUUGAGGAGAAUCGAGAAAAUGAUUCAGUUUCCCCUCCUUCGAUCACCUAAAAAGGUAAACAUCAAUAAUAUUUUUUUAUAGAUAUACAUGCAUAAUAUUUUUGGAUGCGUAUGGAUUUGAAAAAAAUAUGAAAAUAUACCUCUGAUGGAAACUAUUUUUUUAUAUUCAAGCUCUCGUAUUGAUUUGUAUGCGUAUCCAUUUACAGUAUUUUCAUUUGGCUUUUAUAGCCAAAUCUAAUGAAAUAGCAAAGAAAUUAAAAUUAUUUUAUUUUCCAGCUAUACUAUUUAUUGGAUUUGGUUAUUGCUAUUUCCUUCCUUCUCGCAGGUUCUAACGCUGACGUGGAGGCGUACGGAGGCGAUACGGAGGCAACGCAUGGGGUGUACGACGUACAGGGGCGCUGGUCCUAGGGUUUCAGUUUCUGAAACCGCAACCUAGGCAUUUGGGCUCAUUUUAGGAUUGAGCCUGUAGAUUUGGGUCAGAUUGGGUUUAUCUUGGGUUCUUUGUAUUUGGGCUGGUAAAGGUUGUAAAUGGGCUAUUUCGGACUGUUUUAUUUUGUGGUUUUUUUAUUUUAUUUUGUUGUUUAUGAUGGACCCGGGCAAAUUGAGCUGCUUACAGCUAGCAGCAAAAAAGUGCAAGCACGUAUCAACUCUCUAUUAUAAAAAUCAAUUUAUAUGAAUUCAUUUAUUAGUAAAUAA